rnacentral:rRNA from 1 species
GUGGGGAAUUUUGGACAAUGGGCGCAAGCCUGAUCCAGCAAUGCCGCGUGUGUGAAGAAGGCCUUCGGGUUGUAAACUGCUUUUAACCGGGAAGAAACCCCAGGACGUGUCCUGGGUUGACGGUACCGGAGGAAUAAGCACCGGCUAACUUCGUGCCAGCAGCCGCGGUAAUACGUAGGGUGCAAGCGUUAAUCGGAAUUACUGGGCGUAAAGCGUGCGCAGGCGGUUUUGUAAGACAGGCGUGAAAUCCCCGGGCUCAACCUGGGAAUUGCGCUUGUGACUGCAAGGCUGGAGUGCGGCAGAGGGGGAUGGAAUUCCGCGUGUAGCAGUGAAAUGCGUAGAUAUGCGGAGGAACACCGAUGGCGAAGGCAAUCCCCUGGGCCUGCACUGACGCUCAUGCACGAAAGCGUGGGGAGCAAACAGGAUUAGAUACCCCGGUAGUCC